UACGGAGGGGGCUAGCGUUGUUCGGAAUUACUGGGCGUAAAGCGCACGUAGGCGGAUUGGAAAGUUGGGGGUGAAAUCCCGGGGCUCAACCCCGGAACUGCCUUCAAAACUCCCAGUCUGGAGGUCGAGAGAGGUGAGUGGAAUUCCGAGUGUAGAGGUGAAAUUCGUAGAUAUUCGGAGGAACACCAGUGGCGAAGGCGGGUCUCUGGGCCGUAACUGACGCUGAGGCGCGAAAGCGUGGGGAGCAAACAGG
rnacentral:rRNA from 1 species